AGGAUUGAGCAUGGUUACGAACCCACACUCUAUCUCUGGGUUGGUAAGUUACAUCUCUUCUUUUUUUAUUAUAAUUUCUCAGCUGUCUAGCUUUUGCCUUUUUGCUGCUGAGGUGUGCCUUUAUUUGUAGGUUUUUGAUGUGCUGCACCACUUCAUAGCCAGCGGAAUCAGGUGAUAGGGCUUGUCCCUGUACAAGUUUAUCCACAGGACUUCUGAGUUUUCGCCCCAAGUGAAGCUCCGCAGCUGUCAAGCCUGUUGUUUCAUGUACGGAGGAGUUUAGUGCAAAUCUGAAUUCAGGAAGAGUUCUGUAAACAAGUUGGAGACAAAUUGUGAGCCUCUGUCCGAUAGAAGAAAGUCUGGAACUCCCCAGCGUGUGAGAAUUUCUUUUUGAAACAGCUUUGCAAUUACUGGUGCAGUAGCAGCACGCAUGGGAAAUAAUUCCACCCAGCGGGUGUAGUAAUCCACAAAUACUAGUCUGACAUUUCAAACAGGAUCGGAUGAAGUUCUUGACGUCGUCCCACAUUUUUGGCCAGAAAACUACGUCAUGGAGACGUUUGUAUGUUU